rnacentral:tRNA from 1 species
GGCGUUGUGGCUCAGUGGUAGAGCACUUGCCUCAUAUGUGUGAGGCACCAGGUUCAAUCCUCAGUACCA